rnacentral:rRNA from 1 species
GCCUGUGGUUAUACCACCUUGAAUGUGCAUGGUCUUCUCUGAUAUUAGAAGAUAAAAAGAGUCAGCCCUGUUUAGUACUUGGUAGAUGACCUGGGGAUACAGGUGCAAUAGAAA